GAUGAACGCUAGCGGCAGGCCUAAUACAUGCAAGUCGGACGGGAUUGGAGAGCUUGCUUUCCAUGAGAGUGGCGCACGGGUGCGUAACACGUAUGUAACCUACCUUGUUCAGGGGGAUAGCCUCUCGAAAGAGAGACUUAAGACCGCAUAACAUCACGCUAUAGCAUUAUAAUGUGAUCAAAUAUUUAUAGGAACAAGAUGGGCAUGCGGAACAUUAGCUAGUUGGUAAGGUAAUGGCUUACCAAGGCUACGAUGUUAGGGG
rnacentral:rRNA from 1 species